ensembl:lncRNA
CAGCCCAUACUAAAAUACCGAGUAUCUAUAUCCCUACUUAUUUUGAUGUCAUAUCCGAAACAUCUGUAAUGGCACCCACGCCGUUUGGAAAUGGGAUUUACCCACCUUGUUUGACUACACGCUCUGAAGAGAAGAGCAACAAAGCGUGCAGAAAAAAAAAAACCCUCAAACAAGCUCUGAAGCCUCCCAACAGCCAGAAGCAGAUGUAGGCGAUCUCCCCUUCUUUGUCACGUACAGCAGAAGCUUCCCACGCACCAGAAGGGACGUGGUGUGCAAGGUGCCCAGGAUGCAUCCCUUCAGAGGGUGCCAUGCCAUGGGCCACUAUAUAAACCAGACAAUUAAGUGUGGGUAACAACUGCCUGAUCAGUUCUCACCUGCGUGGCCCGAUUGCACCAGACUGUGCAUUUUUGAAGGUGAAAUUGUGAUUUUAUAAUUCCCAUCCCUUGUGAACUUCUGACACCUCAUGAGCGCUAGUAAUUAAAAAAUAACAUCCUCACACUUAUUCCACGUUGUAAAAGCGAAUUUCACACGGCUAAAAUGAAGUAAAGCGCUGCCACCGAACUGCUUUUAUAGGGUACAUGCAGGUGGGAUAUGGAGGGAUCAGUCACACCUGGCCUGGGGAAGUCAGCAUCCAGAACAGUCUGCACUUGGCUGAAAAUGAGACAGUUGCCAGAGCCAUGGCUCAGGACAGGCGAGUCUCACAGCAGGACUGACGUGUCCAAAAGUGCUGAUAUGAUAGUUCCAUUAAGUUCUGCAUGGAGAAGCUAUUGUGUGUAUCUCUGGUACAACCGUUCCACACUCUAUGGAAAAUAGAAAAUAUAUGGAUCCAAAGACAUGCUAAUUUCCAAGCCUUUUAGAACUCCAGAUGGAUGCAAACAGCUCCUCCACAGUGUUU